GCUGGGCGUGGUGGUGCACACCUGUAAUCCCAGCUACUCAGGAGGCUGAGGCAGGAGAAUUGCUUGCAUCUGGGGAGGCAGAGGGUGCAAUGAGCCAAGAUUGUGCCACUGCACUCCAGCCUGGGUGACAGAGCAAGACUCUGUCUCAA
rnacentral:SRP_RNA from 1 species